UGAUGUUGUAAACUCUAAAUCAGGAUUCAACAGAUGUGAUAAAUUAGGUUUGGUUUAUCGAACCCGAAAUACUGUUGUUGCAGACAGCCAACCAUUAUUUACAAUGAGUUGAAAAUCGUUGCGAAAUGAGUCAAGAUUGAGCGCUUGUUGAUGACAUCACUCGCGAGGUUUCCGUCGCCACGGAAAUUAUGUCUUGACUGGGGGUGACAGAGAAAAUGGUUAGUGUCCUUUAAAAGGAGUAUGUAAAUCGUCAGGAAAGAUGCUAAAAACUAGCAGCUGAUUCGCUGGGUGGGUAUCAUUGAUUUGUGGCGUUUAUUUGGACUGUAAUUGGGCCGUGAGAGAGGGAUUGGAUGUCUGAGUCAUAAAACAUCGUGAUGGUGGAUUCUGAUGGUUGUUGAUUUUUGGUUUGAUCGUUUGAAUAGCACCAGUGAAUUUGAGCACUGUUUCCAUUAUGUGGAACGGUGUCAGGGUAUUAAUGGUGAAAAGCAACCUCUAUGGUAAAACAUAAUUGUACAUGUUUCGGUAAACUAGCGAGGUUGAAUUUGGUUAUUUGAACAUUUCCCUUGAUACGUAGACAUACGUAACAGGUGCAAGUUGUUUUUCCUUGAGGAACACGCAGAUGGUGUUUUGUUUUAUUGAGAUGUAAAUGUGAGUUGAAGGAGCCAAGGGAAAAUACGUUAUUUUUAUUAAAUAUCAGGGAUUAUAAUCUUGGGGAGAAUGAGGCCAUAAACGACCAAAUUGGAAAGGCCUGGAAGUUUUGAUUAAUCAUUAAGGCUUGCAAAUAUAUACACAUAAAACAUUUGUUAGGACUAUUUGUUUUGGUGCAAAGGUAUUUUAAAGAGACACGCUCAAAUAUGGAACUUUAUGAGUUUUUAUUUUAUGAGUUUUAAAUUACACAAGUGAAUUUGGAUUUUAAGGAUAAAGGGUUCUUUAAUAUGUCUAGUGUAGUAUAGAACUUGACUAUAAAAGGGUGGGUUGACUCAUGGACCUUAUCAUGACUGUCUUCUAAGGUCUGAUCAGCCUUAGGGGAGAGUCAUUGGUAUAAUGAAUGUGGUCAUAUAGAGUUACUAGUUUUAAGGUAAAUUCAUUAUAAAGGAGUUUAGGUUAGGAGGUUAGGAUAGGAUAUAUAUUAAGCCAAUAGGGCAGGGAAUUAAAUAGAAAAAUAAGUUUCAGUUCUUAGGGGUGAUAAAUUACUGUAGAUAAGGAAUUCUGCACUCUGCAACAUAUAUUAAAUUCAUGUUAUUGUCGGAUAGAAUACUGAGGGUCCUUGAAGGAAGGAUUUUGAUAUGAUAAGCAUUUGUUUUGAAUUUUUUGACCAAUCUUACCUAAGUCAUUAUUUAGAGUAGGUAAGGUUGAUACCUGGGCAGAGUCUGGUAUCAAAAGGGGGAUGGGUAAAUUGUGGUCUAGGAUAGGAUGGGGCUUAUUGGAUAAGAAACUAAAAAAAAAAAAAAAAAUGUAAGCUAACAAUUGGGAAUAGAAGUUAAAGAUAUAAUCAGAUAAAACAUAUGAGAAAUUGUUUGUUAACCAAGCCUGUAUGUCCAGGAUUUUAUGCAUUACAGGUGAACUACAGGUGAAGUCACUCAAUCCAGUCCCAGAGGCUUGGGGACCAUAGGAGACCCCUGGUGACAGCUAGCUGAAAGAGCUACCCAGAUUCAUAUCGCACGGCGGAAGGGUAAGACAUUUUUUCACUGUCGGACAAUAAACAGAGUUCGGGAGAAGAACUGGAAUUAACAGAAUUCCGGGGGCCAACUCUCGAAUGAAGUAACCCUACCUGUCCUAUCACCCCUGUUUUUGUUCAUAGAAGUGAAGAUGUGUCUGGCUCUGGCUAAGUGAUGUGUAUUUUGUUCCAAAAUAAGCAUAAGAAAUCCCUAGAUCUGGUAGACAAGAAGUUAGAGUAGAGAUUACAUGAUAACCGACUUCGGACAGUUCUAGGAUUGGAGAAGAGGGUAUCCUUAUAGCAUGGGGGAUCCCACAAGGGUGGAUAGGUUUUCCAUGAUAUGGGGAAACCUGGGAGCAAUGUUGAACUUUGUAAAGGUGAUGAAAUCCUACUAACCAUCAAAACUAUUAAGCUCUCUGAUGCAGGCACUCACACCCUCGGACUACAAAGGACGAGGACAGACAUGAUGGGUGUGUUUUCUAUUAAGGUACUGCCAAGACCAGAGGUAACCGGACACACUCCUCUACCACCACUGUGUUAAAAAUACCAUUCAGGUAAUUAAUGUUAGAGACUAUUCGGCUAUGGAUCAAUUAGAAACUGAGACUGGUUUUGAUAGUAGGGACAAUUUGUGGCUGUCUUAUAUGAGGUAUACAGCUAAAACCCUGAGAAGAAAGGACUGUAUUAUUUGUAGUCAUGAUAGACCUGUUCUGGCUACACACCCAUUUGCUGUAGGAGAAGGAGGGGGGUGGUUGUGUAUUUUGAGAAGUUUUUACCAGGUUAAGCCCAAUUCAACCCUCUGUUCCUCUUUGAGCCUUGUGUUUCCUGCAGUACCUCCUCAUCGGGCCUCUUGGGGUGUUGAGGCAUAUGGGGGCAAUUACGAGUGCAUCACGGGUACAGGUAAUGGCAUUGAUUAUGGGAGAUUGCCUGAAGCUGAUUGCAGGAGUAACAUAACCAUUAAUUCCACUUGGCCAGUUACAGGCCUAAACCAAACUAGUGGUCUGGCUGAUGUAUGUUGGAUGAGUGGAGCAAAAAGAGUGCUGAGACCCAUUCUUAGAGGAGAAUGGCAAGGUACGUGUGGUCUGACCAGUUUGAUAAUUCCACUGACCAUUGUUGAUGUUGUUGCUGAACAGCUGCUGAGUUCUGUAACCAGGGGACCUGAAAACAUUCCAUCCCAUGGGAGACAUAGAUGUAGUAGUGCUCCAUGGACAGAGGAUGUAGUUGACAUACACACUAACCUGUUGGGAGUGCCAGUGGGGAUUCCUCAUGAGUUUCAGGCCUUGGGUAGGAAUGAUGGACUCUGGCACUUACUACCUACUAUGGGUCCAGCCAUGGUGGAUGCUAGACAGACUGCAUGGAUUAAUUAUAUCUACUAUAAUCAACAGCGUUUUGUGAAUUACUCCCGUGAUGCACUCACUAGUAUGUCUGAACAGCUUGAGGCCACAUUUGGGGUUUCCAGACAGAAUAGACUUGCCUUGGAUAUGCUUCUUGCCAGUCAGGGGGACGUCUGCAAGAUGUUCGGUAAACAAUGUUGCACAUAUAUUCCUAAUAAUACCAGUCCAGAUGAUAGUUUUUAAACUUCACAAUCUAAGGCGGGGUUGAUGCACUAUCUGCUAAGAUGAGGUCCACAGGGGGGGUGGAGGAGUCUGUUCUCUUGGCCUGGUUUGGUAAGUACACUGGUAUGAUGGUUACUGGAUUUCUGACCCUAAUUCUUGUAUUAUUUGUUAUUGAUGUGAUGUGCUGCUUGCAUCAUACCGUGUUUUGAGAAGUCUGUUACAGAUGUGGUGAGGGCUUCAGGCAUAUGCCUUUGCUUGAUGCUCCAGUUGGCGAUGCCGAUACGGAAGCAUGCUUUCAGGGGAGGAUGGGACUGACUGAGGAUGACACAUGGUUUGGAGUCCCUGGGUGGCAAGGAGCCCACCUGGUACAGGAUAGGAGUAGCUGAGAGGACCAGAUGGUUUCUAAUAAUUCUUUACUCUGUUUUCCAUGACCAAAGUUUUAUCCUACAUCUUACAUGUCAAUAGCAAUAAAGUUUUAUCCUGUUUUUGAUAAGUGACACCCUUGGGGGGAACAAAAGCAUACAACAAAGGCAUAUAUAACUUGUUAUUAGUAAUAAACUUUUUAUUAUUUUCAUGAAA